rnacentral:rRNA from 1 species
UACGAAGGGGGCUAGCGUUGUUCGGAAUUACUAGGCGUAAAGGGCGCGUAGGCGGUGUGUCAAGUCAGGCGUGAAAGCCCCGGGCUCAACCUGGGAACCGCGCUUGAGACUGGCACGCUCGAGUUCGGGAGAGGAUGGUGGAAUUCCCAGUGUAGAGGUGAAAUUCGUAGAUAUUGGGAAGAACACCGAUGGCGAAGGCAGCCAUCUGGACCGACACUGACGCUGAGGCGCGAAAGCGUGGGGAGCAAACAGG